rnacentral:misc_RNA from 1 species
AAGUCGUAACAAGGUCUCCGUUGGUGAACCAGCGGAGGGAUCAUUACAGAGUUACUACUCCAAACCCAUUGUGAACCUUACCUAUGUUCUGUUGCCUCGGCGGCGUCGGUCAGCGCCCCUCUGAAAAGAGGACGAUGCCCCUCCCGCCGCCAGCACCAAACUCUUGAAUUUUACAGCGGAUUACAGUUCUGAUUUGAAAACAAAAAACAAGUUAAAACUUUCAACAACGGAUCUCUUGGUUCUG